GACGAACCGUCCAAACGUUAUUCGGAAUUACUGGGCUUAAAGGGCGCGUAGGCGGCACUGUUAGUCAGGCGUGAAAGUCCUGGGCUCAACCUGGGAACUGCGCUUGAUACGGCAGAGCUAGAGGAUGGAAGAGGCUCGCGGAAUUCCCAGUGUAGAGGUGAAAUUCGUAGAUAUUGGGAAGAACACCGGUGGCGAAGGCGGCGAGCUGGUCCAUUACUGACGCUGAGGCGCGACAGCGUGGGG
rnacentral:rRNA from 1 species